AACCAGUGCGACGCUGGCGCCCUAAGUAAAAACGGACAAAAAAAAUGAAAAAGCUACCACGGCGGGGACGAUCUUGGGAUUUAGGAAAGGAGCUUAACUUUAUCGGGCUCUGGCAGCAACAUCCGUCUUUGUUUAACGUGUCGUCAGGAUCCUAUCAUGACCGCAAGAGAAGGGACGCAGCGUGGAAGAACAUAGCAGCAUGCUUACGAUUACCAGUUGAACAAGUAACAACCCGGGCUGCUUCUCUGCGCACUCAGUACGGGAAACUACUGCGUGUUCAAGAGGACGAAGGAGGCUCACACCUGCUGACUCAGAGACAGAUAUGGAUCCUGAAGCACCUCAACUUUCUGAGACCUCACCUCAAAAGGAUGCAUAACUCCCAACAGGUUUCAGAUCCUCCAAUGAUGGCCUUUGAUUCUAGUGAAGACCCACAGAGUGUUAAAGCUGCCAGUUCUUCCUCAGCGUCUCCCAUACAUGAGCCUCAAAAACCACUUCCUCACACAUCCUCUCAUUCCCACAAUACCCGACAUAGCCAGUUAGCGAGCGCACCCAAGAUGGCUAACACUCCGAGGGAGGAGGGGCUGGACUUCGAGCAGGAACAAAUGAAGCUCUUCAAGCUCGUUACGUCUAAUAAUUCAAAUGGCAAAACUGACGACGAGGAUGAUAUCUUUGGUAAACAAGUGGCCAGUGAGAUGCGUCUCAUCAGAGAUCCCAUGGAUAAAUUACUUGCUCGACGAGCCAUCACCAAGGUUUUGUACGACGCUCAAGACCGAAGCAUGACUCAAUCGGUGACCAUCUCCCAGAGUGCAUCACACCAGAUGUACGACUUCCUAACGCUUAAGGAUGAACAUGGGGAAGUGAACAUUUAAGUGUUUACCUUCUACGAUCAUCCAGCCAAACAGAUUUCAGAUGUGUUUUAAGACACACAAACUGUAAUGAUAAAGAUGGUGCACACUCGGGCUGGGCGAUAUGGACCAAAAUUCAUAUCUCUUUUGUUUUUUUCAAAAUGGUGAUAUACGAUAAAAAAUUUAAUCAUUUUAACGCAAUAAAGUCUUACCAGAAAGACA
rnacentral:lncRNA from 1 species